CCAAAAUUAGUGCUUGGAAUCAUUUAAAAUAAUAUAGCAAACAUUUUUGGAGUGCCUGCUAUGUGUCUGGCACUGUUUCAGGCAUUUG
rnacentral:pre_miRNA from 1 species